GACAGAGGAUGCAAGCGUUAUCCGGAAUGAUUGGGCGUAAAGCGUCUGUAGGUGGCUUUUAAGUCCGCCGUCAAAUCCCAGGCUCAACCCUGGACAGGCGGUGGAACUACCAAGCUGGAGUACGGUAGGGCAGAGGGAAUUUCCGGUGGAGCGGUGAAAUGCGUAGAGAUCGGAAAGAACACCAACGGCGAAAGCACUCUGCUGGCCGACACUGACACUGAGAGACGAAAGCUAGGGGAGCGAAUGG
rnacentral:rRNA from 1 species